CACGCCUCCCUCCCCCGCGCCGCCGGACGCCGCCUCCCUUCCCCACAUCUCCGGUCGCCGUCUCCUUUCCCUGCCCCGCCGGAUGCUGCCUCCUUCCCAGAUCCCGCCGCCGCCCGCAACACAACCGGCACCGUGGCUGUCGCCCCGCACCAGAUUCAUGAGCUGCUAUCGCUCCACCGCCGUGUACAUGCAGUUCAACGCUGCAACCACAGGCCGUUCAAUCUCUCCGUCGUGGACACGCCCCUCCACCUCCUGGUUGCUACUCAUCCCGGUGUGGCCAGGCCGUUGGGUUCGCCGCCGAUGUGAUCAGCAGUCCAACCCGGCCGCCCCAUGCCAUUCACCGCCGCAGCUCCCAGGCCGACUGUGUCGAGCCACCUUCCGCCCGCACCUUGGGCUCCCGUAUGCGUCCCCUACCCCAGCAGGUGCACACGUCCCUGCCCACCGUUCCCCUGUGUUGUUCUUUUGACCUUGAACUAUAUAGGAUACAACUUUUAUUUGAUUUUCAGUUCACCUUUUGCGUUCUUUUCAGUUCAUAAACUUUAAUGUAUUGAUGAAAUCCUGAAAUAUCAUAUGUGCACACUACGUAUUUGUUCUUAUGCCUACGAACAAUUCUGCACUUGUGCUGUUAUGCAUCAGUUUUGGUCACCAAAAAAAUGGAGGUUUAGAUAUGACAAAAUGGAUUAGAGCACCAUGCCCUCACCCAGAAGUUUGAAAAAAAAUCAUUGCUUUCAAUUCUAGUAAAAUGUUUUUGUUUAAAACUGCACUGCUGAUUCUUUCUGUAAUGGGCUUUAUAUAUUAUCUUUCCUAUGUCUUACUGUAGGAAAAUAUGGUGGCCUUCAGCAAGUAAUCUUUCUCUAACGGGCAUCCUAUGCUGCGUGCUCACGGUGACCAUAAGCAUUGUUUCUAGAUGUACUAUCUUGUUGUGCCAAGGCAAUCAAAAACACAAGUGUUGCUACUCUAAUUCACCCCCGACACCUCGACAGUCGCCAGGCGUGACACGCCUCCUCCCAAGGACGUGCUCGCCUCCCCGCGCCUCCUGCCGGCAACGUGACCACUUCUCGCGGCAAUGCGCCAUGUGUGGCCCAUGUUCCGGCGUCGCCCUCCGCGGCCUCAGCACACAGGCCGUUCAACUCCGCCACCUGACGCCGUUCACCUCCGCCACCUGACGCCGUUCACCACCACCAGUCCCCGUCCAAGGCUGCCCCAAAGACCCCGUGCGUUAACACCCCUGUCAACCCCGAAUUUUGUUUCUCUCAGCUUCAAAAAGAGGGGGCUUCCACACCAAAUGGAUCUCUGCUUCCGGCCGCGGUGGGAACACCAGGUAUGCUACUCGUGUUUUUCCAUGCUGGACACCAAGCAGCGCACAUGAGAAAGAUUGCUCUGCUUUUGUAGUUACUGUGCUAGUUUGUUGGGCAAAAUGAAAAUUACAGUUGAAGGAAGAUUGAGGCUUAAAGUUCAGAGACGUUUUGAAUAAAAGUUUUGAUAGUGUAGUAGCUGAAAAACAUAGGGCAGGUCUUGUAGUUUUGAACUUUUGGAUGUGUAUGUCAAUUUUGAGUCAAGUAGCUUUUCAGAUCAAAAAUGAUGUACCGUUAGUCGCUAUAUUGCUCAGUUCAUGUGCAACCAUUGGAGGAGUUCAAAAAAUCAGAACUCGUCCAUUCCCAUAAAAUUCUGUAAGUUUCAUGUGUGUGCUGCUACAAAUCUGAAAUAUUUUUCCAAUCAUACUAGUACUGAUGCAAUCACCUGAAAAAGUUGAAGAAAAAUUAUGUAAGUUGUAGACUAUAAGUUGACAUGCACACACGGCCAUUCUGUAAGUUGUAGACUAUAAGUUGACAUACACAUACAAGAGCAAUUGGUCUGCCUGCUGCAUACGGUGUUGGUCCACGUACACACUCCUCGAAUCUCUCUUCUUUGGCUCCCAGCGGUGAAGAUCUCCAUGCCUCCCGUUUGAAUUUUCAGUUAAUUUUUAAUUGAACUUGUACUGCUAUUGAUUCAGACCUGAGGGAAGAAGGCAGAACCUCUCUCUUGUUGGCAUUAAUUUUUCUCUCUCAUCUCCAUCUUCCUUUGUCAAUCGAAAAAAUUAGCGGCUAGCGCAUAAAUUGUGUAUUUGUUAGAUUGCUCUGCGUGCAAAGUGUAGAGAUUCUAAAAAUUAAAAAAGAAAACGUACAACGAUACAGAGAUUCUGUUGUUCUCUGGUUAGUAGUUCACCUUUGCUAAGUAUAGCAAAUUCUCUGGUUAUUUCUAGCAUAGCAAAAAAUGUCAUUGUGUUAUGCAUAUAAAAGCUUUAUAAAAAUGCGCAAACUGUUGUGUUUAUUGGUAACUCACGGCUGUGUGUAGCUCUUGUAUGUCUUCGGAAUACUUAUGCAUACUGUUGUUUGUACAUAUCUUCAGUACAAGUUUGGAAGGCUAGGAAGUUCUACCACCGACAUACACCAAGUUCAGAGACGUUGCACGGAGUGAGCCGCCGCCGCCGUAAAAAAUGGUUUAUUAGCAUAUUGUUUUUUGGUACUUAUGCAUACGGUUGUAGAAGUGAAAUUUGUUGGGUGCAUGUGCAGAAAAAUCGUCAGUCCAGUUUUCAAAAAUUCUGGAAGUUUGUUUGAUUCUAUAAAAUUCUGGAAGCUUCUUGUGUGUGCUGCUACAAAUCUGAACUAUUUGUCUAGACAUUCUAGUACUGAUACAAUCGCCUAAAAUAAGUUCAAGAAAAAAUCAGUAAGUUUGGUGCGUGUGCUGCUACAAAUCUAAAGUUCUUCUCGAGUCAUUCUAGUACUGACGUCUCUUUUAGUCUGUAGCGGAGGGGAUAAUUUUAUGCUCAUUCUUUCAUAGUAUGAAGCUCAUUUAUAGUUUCUUUUCUCAUUCUUUUAGUUAAGAAAAUGUUUAUUGACCUUGAAGCAUAAACCUCUCGGCAAUGUAACAUUCUGCUGAUAUUUUAAUAAUCGGUAAGCUGUUGUAGUGGGACAAGGUCAUCAUCUUGAGGAGGUCAGUGAGGUCAGUGAUACCAUGCAUGCUGAAACAAUGGCCUUGCACCAGGCUGUAUCUAUAACAUGGGCUCUGGGAUGCAGGCUGGUGCUGCUCUGGGUAGUAAUACAUGUACUGAGUGAUACACAAGUUUGAUUUUCACGGAAAUUGAACUCCAGGAUAUGAAGUUUGAUGGAUGUGGAGGUUCUUUUGACCUUGAACCCUAUAGGAGUUCAACUUUUGAUUAAGUUUUAGUUCAUCUUUAGCUUAGUUCAUCAACUUUAAUUUUCAGAAAUAUCGAGGAUGUACUGUAUUACUUUUAAAGGGGAGUUCAUGUUUGGCUGGAUUUGGCAGUUCAUUUCCUAUUUCUUUAUAGGUUCAUACACCAGUAAGGUUUGGUGGUACAAUUUUUAAAACUGUAGCUGUUCGGCAAAAAGGUUCACUACCCCAAUUAGGGGAUUUUCAAUCAGUAAUGAGGCUGUUGUGGAGAAGCAAAAUAUUCAGUGUUCAUGAUGUCCAAAUUCCAGUGAUAUGCCAUUAUAUAUUAUUGGCAUUGAUCAAGUCAUUUGCUGCAUUUUUUCCAUGUCUCAGUGUAUAAGAGCUGCUAGUCAGUAGACUAUGAGUUGUAGUCUGUAAUGGCUGGCUGUUCUACACAGUGCACACACAUGACCUAGGUGCAACCUAUUUAAUUGAUUGAUGUUUUCAUUUUUUUGAACAGGAAGAUGGGU